CCGGAAUCGCAGGUUGAUCGACGAAGAACUAUCCUCGCUCCUCACCAAGAGAGCGAUAGAACGGGCCCCCCUGGACUCCACGGGAGUCGUAAGCAAUAUUUUCCUAGUGGAAAAGAAGGGCGGCCAAAUGCGCCCAGUCAUAAAUCUGCGCCCACUCAAUGCUAUGGUCAAGUACCGCCAUUUCAAGAUGGAGGGUAUCCAUCUGUUGAGAGAUCUACUCCUUCAGGGGGAC